UCCUAAGUUAAUAAUGUCAAAAUCGAAUAGAAAUCGAAGCGCAAUUAAUGUCCGACCGAACUUUCGGUUUCGGUUUCGGUUUCGGCCAAAAAUCAACUUUCGGCUGCAGUUUCGUUUUCGGCCAAAAUCGGCCGAAACUUUUGCCGAAACCGAAACUUAUCUCGCAAGGUCACGCACAUUCGCCCAACUUCGUUUUCCGCGGCAAAGCUGUGUCGUAAGCCGUCGGCUCUGUUCGGGAAUCAUCGUGUGCCGUUCGGAUAGCUCCGUAGUAAUGCAAUAAAACUUAGUCAGUGCGUGUGCGUCCGACGGAAACAUUAUUUGGAGGUUAUGUUUUGAUGGAACUGAUAACAUAGUAAAAUAUCACAACGAGAAAAAAAUCCGAUUAGGCAGUACUUUGAUAAAAGUAUCAGUGAUACAUCAAAAGCUGUUUGCAAGAUAUGUAACAAGUGCUAUUCAUUAGGAAACUACGAAGCAAAAAAAACAAACAUCACAUGGACUGAAGUUGCAUUUAUCAAAAUUUCAUGACCAGGAAUACAGGCAAGUACAAAAACGUGUCUCAGAAUUGAAUGAUUUCAAAAGUGAAGCAAAAUUGAAGCGAACAGACUCGAGUGCAUCGUUGAAAUGUAAAUGGUAAAAAUGUUAUUAAGAUUUUUUAAUAUUGUAUUAAAUAAAUGAUUACAAUACAACAAACUGAAUUAA